GAUCCUCUCUGUUGUGAUUCAUCCCCCCCAGGCCCUACAGUUUCUCCUUCCUGACUCUUACAUUUCUUUGGAUGGCAUCACUAUUCCUAUUCAAUGUGAAAAAGAUGAGGGCGAAGACCUUUAUGAUGAUCCAAGUAAUGAACACACUGGAGAAAGUCAAACAGUCAAAACAAUGUCCCAGACUCCGUGAAGUUCCUGGGUAGAGAAGUAGACAGACGUACACCAUACCUAAUAAUUGGAGGUCCAAGAGAAUGAGAGAAUGGCAGAAAGAACUUUAGAGCAUGGGUAUGAUGGCUAGAGCUUGAGCAGCCAUUGUGGACAUCAGAUGAACCUGAAAGUGAAAACUAUGAGCUGAAUAUGACAAAGCAAAUAGAAAACUGGAUUCAUGAUGACACUGCAAAGCUGCCAGACCAGCUCUAGUCUGCUUCUCCCUAAUCUUCCUUACUAAGAGAGAGAAAUAAACUUCCAUCUUCUUCAAGGC
rnacentral:antisense_RNA from 1 species